rnacentral:rRNA from 1 species
CAUUCACGGAGAGUUUGAUCCUGGCUCAGGACGAACGCUGGCGGCGUGCUUAACACAUGCAAGUCGAACGAUGAAGCCCUUCGGGGUGGAUUAGUGGCGAACGGGUGAGUAACACGUGGGCAAUCUGCCCUGCACUCUGGGACAAGCCCUGGAAACGGGGUCUAAUACCGGAUACGAGCCGGGGAGGCAUCUCCC